rnacentral:rRNA from 1 species
GUGCCAGCAGCCGCGGUAAUACGGAGGGUGCGAGCGUUAAUCGGAAUUACUGGGCGUAAACGCAGACACGCAGGCGGUUUGUUAAGUCCAGAUGUGAAAGCCCCGGGCUCAACCUGGGAUGGUCAUUUAGAACUGGCAGACUAGAGUCUUGGAGAGGGGAGUGGAAUUCCAGGUGUAGCGGUGAAAUGCGUAGAUAUCUGGAGGAACAUCAGUGGCGAAGGCGACUCCCUGGCCAAAGACUGACGCUCAUGUGCGAAAGUGUGGGUAGCGAACAGGAUUAGAUACCCUGGUAGUCC